AAUCAGUUAAAUGUUGUUUUCCAUUCGCCUGAAAUCAUCACUUUUCAUGAAAAUUGACAAAGAGUUAUUUCCCUUUGCUGACUCUUUUGCACUGAAGACAAAAAAUAGUUGACUCUUCUGUCAAAAGAAGUUUCUAACAACAUGUGACAAAACAGACACCAGGAAAAUAAAAUGUUUAAGUUGUGAGUGACAAAGUAAGUCAUCAAUCAAUUAAUGAAAAUGAAAGAGACAGGUCUUGUGAAAUACUGACUAGAGGGAUUCCAUCUAUUCUAAAGACCCAUACGUACAUUAUGCAGUUAUGAUGCAAAUGGAAGAAAACGUUAAAAAGCAGUGGAUACGGCCACCCGGAAAUCAGUAGGAAUGGAUCUACCCUAGGAACAGAUGUACCAAUACAGUUCAAACUAUGAAAAUAAAGAUGAAAAGAUACAUUGAGAAUCCAUUUUCAGUAAAAGCAGAACUGUGACACAGGAGCAUCACCUUUGAAAGGUUACAAAUGUUACAAAUGACACCAAUGAAGGAUACAUGAGCAACUGU